UACAGAGGGUGCAAGCGUUGUUCGGAAUUAUUGGGCGUAAAGGGCGCGUAGGCGGUGCGGUAAGUCUGUAGUGAAAUCUCUGGGCUCAACUCAGAGUCUGCUGCAGAAACUGCCGUGCUUGAGUGUGGGAGAGGUGAGUGGAAUUCCCGGUGUAGCGGUGAAAAUGCGCAGAUAUCAGGAGGAACACCGGUGGCGAAGGCGGGUCUCUGGGCCGGUACCGACGCUGAGGAGCGAAAGCGUGGGGAGCGAACAGG
rnacentral:rRNA from 1 species